CAGAUGGAGACGCUCUCCCCGCUCCCUGCUAGGGAGUCACCGCGAGUCACGGGUUGAUCCCACCCCGGCCCCUACAGCUGCGCCUUCUGAUUGGCUACUACGUCUACAGUGCGCGAAAUUGUUGGCUGCAGCGCCUGUGGUUCCUGUGUCCAGGUCCAGGCUUUAAAGGAGAGCUCAACUAAAAGCUAGCCUGGGAUAAGCUAGGACGUGGGGGCUGUUCGUCGGGGCUUUAGGGUCAUCAGAGGUCACGUGUCGCGCUUCCCCGGACCUCUUCCUGCUGGCGGACCUGCGGGAGCCGAUGCUCAGGACCCAACCUUCCAACCGCCAGGCGCGGCCGGCCUGCGCAUCUCCCCAAACUCAGUUUCCUGGCUGCCAAAGCAAGCUCUGCACUUCUGCCUGGGGGUUGGGAUGAAGCUAUGAAACAACCCUUCCAUUCAUUCAGUGAAUGCUGUGGAAAAAGUGCUUCCACGGCAAGUUUUUAGGAAUAUAAAUGCCAAAAACUCCAGUGAUGUUUAUUUUGUUUCCCAAAUCUGUACCUUUCUGAGAUCAUCACUCCCAGCCUCCUCUAGUGACUCUGCAAGCUAAGGAAUUGUCAUCUCUCUUAUAAGAAACCUGUGUGGCACAAGGUUAAUGCUUGGGCAGUUUCCAUUAUGUGAAAGUCCCUUGGGUUGCACUGCACAGUGUACUAAUUAUGAUCCCAAUAAUCAGAUUUCUGGAUGACAUUUUCACCUGGGAUAUCAGAUGCAUUCCAUCAAGGCCACAGAUGGACAAAUGAAGAUCAAGACAUGGUGACAAAUGCCAGCUACUUUUCUCCAGGCUGGCAUGGAUCAGAAACGGAGGAGAAUAUUGAAGCAGCAUCCCAAAUAUUAGUUCUGAAAAACAAAUGGAUACGGAAGAACAAACGAGCACCUUGAGAUCCAACCAUGGCCCAAAGAGGCUGCAGAUGAGUUGCCACGCCCUGAGGUGCCUCUCGGGGAGCCCUGGAGGCUCUGACUGACUGGAGUCACAUGUCGGACAGGGUUGCUGACAGGGUGUUUGCUGUGCUCGUCAUCCUGUAAGUGAGACACUACACAGCAUUUGUUUGCCAAAUUGUGGUACAUUAUGCAAAUCUAAGUUAAAUUAAUACUUAGAAAUACAGAUAGGAAAAGCUAGAAAAGCCCUGUAACAAAGCAUGAUUACUGAGAUUAGAGUGCUUUGAACUUGAGCAUUAGAGAAUCUUUCGAAUUUGUAGGAUUAAGCAGGAGGCAUACCCCUCUCUUAGGAGAAACAUGCACAUUUGUAAAGGAUCCUAGCACCGGGGGAGAGGUAUUUUGGGUAGCUUGGGGUUCUUAUGAGGGAAGGAAAGAGCCAAAACAUCUCCCAAUACCAAGAGUAAAUUUCCUCUCCACAAAACACUGGAGUUUGAUUGUCUGGGUUGGUUAACUGGGCAGAAAAAUAAACUGUGAGGAAGAAACCCACGCAUGGCUCUGGAGGAAGUGGUCAGGGUGAACACCACCCAGGAGCCUCUUUGAUUUUCAAAGAGUUGAGCCCCAGACCUUGCUGUGAGAUGUGAAGAGUCACUCCAAAUUUAUAAGCUCAUUAAACAAGUACUUUUGACUGUCUACAUGUAUGGCUUUAAAAAAAUACACAGACUGCUUCCAGCCACACCUAGACCUUCUCCAACCAUUUAGCUGACAGUUUUUUCUUCUAAUUACUCAAGUGAGCGUCUCUGUUAUUUACACAGUUUGUGGAAGGCAGAGGAGAAGGGAUUUGUGGUUUAGUACCUUGGCAGGGCAUAGGGGUCAAGUUCAGCCCAUCUUCUGAAAUCAGUCUGACCUGUCAGGCUACCAGAGACCGCUGGAGUGUUGCCCGCUCCCCCAUAAGGUGUUUCCCUGAUUUGCUCUGGCUGGGAGCCAGGAACGGGUUUUGAGUUCAUUUGUGCUUCUUUACUGACCUUAUUGGUGAAUAGUGGCUGGUUUGCCUAAAAGCUCACCCCACCCUCUCUCUCUGUUUUCCUGUGAUCUUAGGGAUUGAACCCUGAGGUGCUCUACCACAUCCUGAGCUCUGUUUAUUUAAUUUUGAGACAUGGUCUCACUAAUUUGCCAGAUUGGGUUUGAACUUGUGAUCCUUCUGCCUCAGCGUCCUAAGCAGGUGAGAUUACAGGUGUAUACCACCACACCCUUUCAUUUUUGAUUUGACAAAAUGAGAAAGUGUUGCCUUUUCCUUCUUUCUUUCCUUCCUUGGAUGUUGGGAAGAUUGAUGGGAUAAUGGUCAUAAAGUCCUUUGAGCUACCUCAAGAAGAGUAUAACCCAAUUCAUUACUGCACUUGCUUCUGCUCAUAAAUCCACACUGUCUACAGUUCCUGUCUGCAGGCCUGGGGUGGUGCCCAAGACCACAGAAGGAAUGCUCCCGACACAGUCACACAUGGUCCUGUUGGUUGGAGUUGGUCAUUCCUGACCUUGACAUCAACCAUCUUAAUCUCCAGAAAUAGGCUAAAUGCUAGUCCGGCCACUUGUGUCUCUUCAUCAUCUCCAGGGCGACUGCAUAUUUCCAGCCUCUGUGCUCCAGGAUCUAAUAAUAGGUGGGAUGAAAAGACUGUUUCCUCUGAUGCACUUUUAUGAGAUGUUUUCAAAGAGGAUGCGGUGGGGGAAUGGAUAAGCUGCUCGCUCAGUACAGUGAGGCGUCAGAAUGACGGGGCAGGGAAGCCCCACCUUCCCAGGGAGCUCUUGCUCAAGACAGCCCAGUUGUUAGAGGGCCAGGAAUCCGGGAACAUCAAGGCAGCCUCAGACCUUGUAACCUAGAUGUCAUUGUGCUUUUCAGGCAAUGAUGCCUGAUCACUGCAGGCAGAAGUGUGGCCAAAGGGCACCUAUGGGCCCGAAGCCCUUUCCACAGCAGCUCUGCUUGGGUAAUGGUGCUUCAUUAAGCCUGUGAUGUUUAGGGAUGUCAGACAUCUCCUUAACCCUGAAACACCUUUUGCUCGUGAGUGGUAAAGAGUUGGAUUUCUUAUCAGAAGAAUAUUUUAGCUAUGUGCCCUGGAGAGGAACUACUGUCCCCAUGAGGGGACAGCAAAGCCUCAAGGACAAAGGGAUUUCCUAGAGACAAUGUCAGGAAGGAGGGAGGUACAGAAGGGGACUCUGGAGUCAGCCUGGAAGUUGGGGUUGAGGGAACUCAUUAAAUCUGUUAAGAGGAGCCUAGAUGUUUUGAGCAAGAACAGGGCAGCACCAAAGCUGGGAGAGAUUGUGAAAAUGGUUCAGUGUUUCUGGAGUCUGGGAGGAGAAACUUAAUUAUGCUAUUUAAUUAAACCAAAAGGAAGGGAAUAGAAUAUUUGGUUGCCAAAAGGUGCUCUUAUAAAAAACUGUGGGCUGAGCUGCAGCACUGGGUACCAACAAAGGCAUGGGAGGCAGUGCAUCAGGAAGGACAGGCAGCAAGCUCCAUGGCUGCAGGUCAUCCUUGAUGUGUUUCUGCCAUCAGAAUUUGCCCUUGAUGUCGGGACUCUUCAUUUAUGCAUGUUUGUGCUGUUAAGAUUGUCUUCUGAGUCAUUUGAGAUUUUUAAGAAUAUGUUGCCAAAGUCAACAACCAACAGUUUAGGGUGGCCUGGUCCACCCAGGUCUGGUCCAGGAGGGUCAGGACCCUGCCUCACUCUCACCAUUUCCUGUGGCCCUUCCUCCCUACCAUCCACCACAUGGCACUCCUGGGCCACAGGUGGCUAUCAGCCUUUUGCCUUCCUCCUGCAAAGUUGGGCUCUUCACUUGGGGAGUGUGUGUAUACUCACACAUGUACAUGCUCGCUCACAAGUGUGUGUGCACACUCGCACACAUGCCCAAGUGGGUGGGGAGGAGAGAGUUCUGUUCCCUUGUGGUGAUUGCCACCAACCAAUCAGCUGGACUCUGAGCCGAGCCAAAGUGAAGCAAGAGCGACAUCGGGUGCCAAGAACAAGAGCUUGCUGUGAUAUCAGGUGUUUUCUGGCCUCAGUGUGUAGGAGCAGAGAGAAAGGCUUGGCUCAUUCCAGAGCCUUCACUCCUAGGGAGCAAGGAGUUUCUGGAUGGGGCUUCAUGUCAGUAUUCUGCUCUGCUCGUUUGCAUGAGGGAAUUAGACGCAGACUUGAGGCUUUGAAUGGAUUUUUAAAAUAAAAAUCAAGGCAAAGGUUUUGUUGGCUAGAACAUGACACAGGGACCCAGGUCAACAUUCUAACCCUGUACCUGCCUGCAGUGUCCUCUGGAGGAUAACUGUGCCGAUGUCUUUAGUGGACUACGUAAAAGUCUGACCUAGUUCACAGAGGUGGCGUGUUUGCUCUGGAGGCUGCUCCUGGGGCAGGCUUCCUGUAGCUAGAGUCAACCUCAUUUAGCCAGAGGUAGGGAGCUAAAAGGUAUUCCUGUGGAAUGGCUCCCUGAGAAGGGCUGGCCUGGCUUCCACAAAGAUGCUUUGGGGGACAGGAUGUCAUGGGCUACCUAAAGAGGAUCCCCCCAUGCAGGUGGGAAAGAAUAUGGUCAUGUUAUUUGCCAUUCAGCUGGUCCUUCUUCUUAGCUGGAGCCUGCUUGGCUUUUUCCUUCAUGGAAGAUAAGGCGGGGAAGAGGUUUGUUUGUCCAGAUGCCACCAGUCGGAUGACUAUUGCAGGCACAGGAGUGUCUCCAGGGCACAGUGCCAGGCCAGGUCCCACCUAAUGUCUCUAUUCCUCAUCCAGGAGUGCUGUAAUCAGCAGGUUGAUGCAAAACUGGGAAGGGUUGAGAAACCCCUUGGGCAGGAGAUUUCGAAAUGAGAUUCGGAUUAGAAGAAACAUAGUGGGUGGGGUUUUAAAGAUUGAAGGAGACAGGACAAACUCCCCUCCCAACACUGACACUCCGCUGGAUAGCGGGGAUACACAGAAGAGCCUAGAAUGGGGAGGCAGCAGCACAGGGCUGUGAGGCAGCAGAGAGUUCUGAGUGCUGUUUCCUGACCACCUAUCCCCACCCUUGACAAGGAGCCCUGUGUCUGUCCAUUCACCAGGCAAAACCACCCCUGCCACAGUGCUUUCUGUCUAGGGCAUGUCAGCACCAGCUAGGGGUAGAUAGAUAAAGCCAUGGAGAAGCGAGGGAGGAGGGUGCUGGCAGGAGUGGUAGGAGGAGAACUUGACUAUGUUGGACAAGGCAAAGAAGGGGUUAGUCCCCAGUACCGAAAGGAAAAAACAAACAAACAAACAAAAAACCCCAAGGGUGAACGAGCCUGUGACCCCAUAGCCUUUGUCCCCCCCAGUGGGAAGGGGCAGCUCCCUCCUUGGGUGGCCAGCAGCUGUCACACUGUCUGUGCCCCCUCACCACAUGAUCCUAUCUGAGGUUGGGCUCAGGACACCAGGCAUUGUGUGGCUCCUGGCAGAUGCCCACGAUAUGACGAACCCAGAGGAAGUUGCUGGCUGGAUCUGAAGCCAGAGACAGAGGUGGACUUGAGAAAAAGAAGGAAAUGGAGGAAGUAAGGGAGGAAGAGCGAUGCAAAGGAUCCCAAAAAAGGAAAAAAAGGAACUAAGAAGGAAAGGCAGGAGAAGUGGCAUUCUAGAAGGAGCAAAGAAGCAAGAAAAGAAGACAAAAAAGAGGAUUAUGUCUCAUUUGAAGGAAUUAAGAGUGGCAUAGUCAAGAAUGAGUCUCAGGCCUUAGAAAGCUUGUCAUGAUGAAUAAAUCAUUCCAUUCAGGUGGCUUGAUGAUGGUGGUACUCUUUGAAGAAGUCAGGACCAUACAGUGUAAAAGCCAAGAGUGGGGCUGUAAGAACUAGCUGACCAGCUCUAAACAAGAGGGGCUUAUGAUUCAUGCCCGUACAUACCUGCCUCGUGCAGGGUGGGGACCCAUCUAACCUGAAUCACUGCCCAGCCCCUCCCAGUCUCCUUAGAUGACAAGCUGUGGCAUCCUUGGUCCACCCAACUCACCCCCAAGCAUUUUUCCAGAACAGUAAACAAGUACAGGUGAGGAAGGUCACAGAUCUUUUGGUUUGGGGCCAUUUUCUCCUCCCUCUCAGUGCUCACCAUGUGACUAACCAGGGGUUUCUCAUCAGGGGCUUUUUAGUCUUUCUUCAAAGUGGUCAGAAGGUUGCCAGAUGCAUUCCUCUGAGCUCAAAGUUUAUUUCUGUAUUCUAUUAUGGACUGGGAAAUCCAAGGUUGCCUGAAACAUAUGGGAAAAUCGUCUCUCAUUUUUAGCAUGCCCAGUGUUUUCAACAGUUGAUGCAAAGUUGACCACAGCUGAUCACCUUUCUUGCCAAAAUUAAACCAGAGAUGAAUGUCAUUAACUAUUACCUCCAACAUUUGUUUAGAGGUUUAUACUUUCUAAGCAACUCAUUUUAUUUAAUCUCUGUAAUAAUCCUGCAUUACUGUUAUUCUGCAUUAUAGACAUUGAGUCUCAGAAAAGGUAAUUUUUUAUUAAUAAAUUUUAUUUUAUCCCAUUUCCCCCUCCUGCCCCCUCCCCUCGCUUUGUACAAAAGCUUUGUUUCCAUUUUUUUCCUUCUAUUUUCAUUUUUUUCAGAAAGGUAAUUUUUCCCCAGAGUCUAAAUUCCUUGGGUUCAAACAGUUCACCCUGAAUCAGGUAUAGUGGGGUACACCUGUAAUCUCAGCCCUCUGGGAGGGUGAAACAAGAGGAUCACAAGUUUGAGUCCAGCCUAGACAACUUACUGACCUAGUGAGAUCCUGUCUCAAAAUAAAAGAAUAAAAAAGGGUUGGGGGUGUAGCUUAGUAUAUAAGCCCUGGGUUUAAUCCCCAGUGCCACAAACAAAACAACACAACCAGGAUAUCCUCUGACGCAAAUCCUUGGUGCUUCCUAUACAAUGUUAUCAAACUCUUUAGAGUUCAGAGUGACAUCAAGGGCAGAUUCUGGUGAUCUUUCCUCAAUUUGUUCUCUCACUCUUCUUACCACCCAUUCACUUUCUGCCCUAUUUCUAUGACCAUCCAGUGGGAAAAGAGUACACUUCUCAGGGAAGAACAUCUACAUAAAGCAAAGGACUCUAACAUUUCCUUUGCCAAGGGCCCUUUCUUUCUCCAAAGUUUCUUUCAUGACAAAAGCAAUAGGAGAAUAUUGUAGAAAAAGUACAAAAUCUAGAAAAACAAGAAGAUAAUAAAAAUCAUCAUUCUGCCAUUGAGCAAUAACUUUAGUCUUCCAAACUCAGUGGUAUAUAGUCUUCUAUAACUUGUGUGAUAGAUAUAUGUAUGGAGUUACCUAAAUUUAUAAAAUUAUAAAAAUGGCAAAUUUUAAUAAAUGUUUUGCUUUAAAUUAAUUAAAAUGGCAAAUGUACCUACUCCAUAAUACUGUUUGGGGACUUGUUUUUUAAUUUAAUAUAUUGUAAAUAUUUUCCUGAACUAUUUUUAUAAAAUAUUUAUUUAGUUGACACAUAUAUCCUUGGAGAGGUCUUUUUUUUUUUUUUUUGGUACCAGGGAUUGAACUCAGGUCCUUGUGCUUGCGAGGCAGGUGGCAGAACCACUGAGCUAAAUCCCAGGGCCUGGAGAGGUCUUUUUGAGACAGGGCCUCACGGGCCAGGGAUUUAGCUCAGUGAUUAUGCUGCCUGUCUCGAAAGCGCAAGGACCUCAGUUCAAUCCCCGGUACCAAAAAAAAAAGUAUAAGAGACAGGGCCUCACUCUGUAGUCCAGAUCAGCCUGGAACUCACCAUGUGCCUCAGUGCUGUGAUUGUCAUGCUCAACUUCAUUAUGCAGAUAUUCCUCAUUGAAUGACCUGUUUACAGACUGUCCAGGCUUACAACCCACUGCUCAGACUUAUGGUUCAUCUCUUUUUUUUUGUACAGUUCUGCACAUCUUAUUUAUAGAGUCUCAAUGUCUUUUUUUGUAUAGUAUACCUUGCUUAUUACAGUACUGUAAUUUUUGCUGAUUGUACUGUAUAAUAUAGUGCUGUAGUUUUAUGUUCUGUUAUACAUUACAGUAUUGCCUGUAAGAGUUAUGCAAAUAAAAGCAAAGUCCUC
ensembl:lncRNA